rnacentral:misc_RNA from 1 species
GCUGCUAUCCAAUUAACUUUAACCUCCACUUUGAAGGUCACCACUUUUGGUUGCACCGAGGCAUGACUCUCGUUGCCAGAACGAAGAGUCUGAAGCAGGAACAUGCGUGCCUUCAAUUAAUAACGCAAUCAUUCAAUCGACGCAUUGAACCGCGCUAGCUACGACUUCACAGUGAUCAUCAGUGCGAUUAAUUAGACGACGUAUGUAUAAAUUCGAUACACGAACGAUGAAAAAUUCUAAUAUUUAUAGAAAUAGAAUGGAAGUUUUCGGAGAUACGAUUAGUGGAGUUUCGUGUUCGCGAGUAUACAAAGAUAAUCGCGGAAUGAGUCACUCUUUCUUGAGGGCCCGGCUUCGCGAAGCGUGACACGUCCUAGCUUUGUUGUUUACGUUUAACUGAUUCUAUGCUCGUUACGUAAGUAUCCUUUUAGUACCGUUCCACGUAGUACGUUCGAAACCGUGGCGAUUCGAUGCAUUUGGAAUAAUUCGUAAACGGAACUAGAAAUGCCUAGAAAGCCGCGCGCGACCAUUGAAAAUGAUUAAUAUAUCGAGUAAUCGUUAAUCGGUUGAACCUCGAUACGUUUCAAUCGUUUCUCUCUACAAUCUUCGAUCACGAAGUUCUUUCCUAUCUUUUUUUUCUUGUUUCGAGUAGUUUCGCACUAAAGUCGUGUCACGCGAUUUUGUUAUUAGGAUUGAUCGAAUCGGUGCGAUCGAGUCCGUGACUCUGAAUCGAACGCGCCUAACGAACAAAGGUAUCUGUCGUUCGAGCAUCGCGUUAUACUCAUUACCAAGCUGAAGAACAAUAUGCUGCGAAUGUACGCUCCAAGAGUUUCUUUAUGUCUAUGAAUAGAUGUAGAGGCACGAGGGUAGGAGAAGUAACGAACAGAGAAACGGUUCUAACGUAAUCGCAACCGGCUUUGGAGAGCUCUCUUUACAUUUUGUAUAAGAGAGUAGUGCCGCUCGAUGGUAUCCUCAGUCAAGUCCGGAUCAUCGAAUAUUCAAUGAAAUUUCGUCGGCCAAGUGUUCCGUUUUAAUAGUACUUGAUCGAACACGGCGAAAACCAUCGCGUUUCAGAAGUUGAUCUAAUAUCGAUAAAAGUUGAUUUGUACGCGUAUACUAACCGGUGAAGUUGGUUCGGUCAGGGCGACGGAUCGUUAUCGAUGACACCGAAAUGCUCGGACAACGAGAACAUCGUACAUUUUUAUCGACUUUAUUUUACGUCGUCAAUGUCCUCUACCGAUGUUCACGAUUCCCUUGUCUGACGAUCGAUAAUCGUCUAGCAAUCGUUACCAAUGAUUGUUAUAGGAGGAUAUCGAUCGGUUCGAAAUUGGCCGAUACGGACGUUACGUUUCAAUCGACUGCAAGCAGUUUAACGGAAUGCGAAGAACAGUGUUCGAAACUUGGAAACGUUUGCGAAGCAUUUUCAUUUGGCGUCGGCGUAAAAGGUAACGGUAGUUGUUCGAUCACCGAUCGAACACCACCGUUUGAAAAUUUAUCGACUCAUCCAGAUUACGACGUUUACGUGAAAAAGCAAUGGAUUUCGCCACAGUGCGAUUCCGACUACCUCUACGGAAGCUUUAGAUCAGAAACAGGAGCUCGUUUAACUAAAACCGAUGAAACGAGUAACGAACAGAACGUCGCAAAUACUAACGGUACCUCGUCAACCUUCAUACCAUGGCCUUUUUUCCUAUCUGUACCACCGAUUAACGCCAAAUCACUUUCCAGAAGCAGAGAAGACACGGCAAAUUACAAACUUCUCGGUAUCUAUGAUCAAUCUAUCAAUCACCACGGACGUUUUCUUUCCGGUGACGACAGUCGUAAUAGAAUUCUAGACAGUCUUGCGAAUAGAAAUGAAAGAACAGCAUCGAGCAGUCUUUUCGUUAGAAUUUGUCAUCGGAAAAUACAAGCUGGCAAGAAGAUGGUAAAACUACUCGCUGAACGUGUGAUAAAUUGCGAGAAGCUUCAAGAUUGUUGUCGGGCUUGUGCUUACGAAAAAUCUUUCGUUUGCAGAGGUUUUAAUCACAGACACGGAACGGACGAUUCCCGAUGUACGUGCGAAUUGACGUCGGCUUCGUAUUCUCGCAUGGACGCCGACGACGAUUUCUUAGUUGACACCGACUACGAUUAUUACGAGAGAGAACAGAAUUGUCUGCCUUCGACGCAAUUCGACGAUGGAUCGCGCUGGAAGAAUGAUCCUUCUGAACAUUACGAGCGGACUAAACCGGAAACGUGGUUGAACGCGAAAAACGCGAACGAAGAUCGUUACCAUGUAUCGUCGUCCGCGAUAGAUCAUCAUACACCGAAUCGUGAACUCGAUUACGGACCCGCACGAUUCCAACAAUUCCAUUACGAGGAUUCUCUCGGUUUCAUUCCCCAGGAAAACACUCGAAACCGGAACGUUAACUGGAAACAACGUUUUCAAAAUCACUAUCCUGAUUUCGUCGACCACGAUACGUUUCCCGAAUAUCCUGUAAAUUACGAUAAAGUAUCUUACUCGGACGCAAGAUCUCCGAGUUCGAUUAAACCUCGACUCGAAAAUCGACUUCUGUUCGGACAAAAUAGAUUUUCCGUUUCGAACACGGACGAAUACCCCGAUGGAAGACAUCUGAAUUACGGUAACGCGUUCGGAUACAACGACAACUACGUAUCCGCUAAAAAGCAAUCGGUUCACGAAGAACGCGAUCAGCUAUCAACGACACGAAAAUGUUCGAUCAAAACUAUCACCGGUUCGAAAUUGAGCAGAAACGUGUUACGAAAAACUUGCUUGACGCACGAUUUCGAACAAUGCGAACAACUGUGUACGAACGAAACAGACUUCCCUUGCGAAAGUUUCGCUUACAGGUACCACGCGUUAAUUACCGAUCCGACCGAUAAUUGUUUAUUAAGCGAUCUCUCCUACCAAAAUAUCAAUUUUUAUACAGAUAUUGAACCUGAUCGCGAUUACAAUAGUUACAUAUUUAUACGAGAUCCAAAGAAGAUUCGCUAUUCGAAACACUCGACGAACCUGCACCCUUCGGAAGAGUGUUUCUCAAGAAUUCGAAGCGGAUACGCCAUUCCCACUGAUAUCACGAAACAAUUGUUGUUCGUUGGUGAUUUGGGAGAAUGUCAGUUCGCGUGUACAAGGUCCCAAGAGUUUGUCUGCAAAAGUCUCGUUUUUAAAUACGCGACAGAAUCGGAACAUCGUAGCCGAGUCGACGAACGCGAACCUCCGAAUUGUUUCUUGACCGAUUCGUCUUCGGAACAAAUCAAUCCCGUCGAUAUGUUCGACAUGGAUGGGGCCGAAUUAUACGAGCGAAACAGCUUUCCUUACGAUCGCGAAAAGCAUCCGCAUUCGUAUUCGUUCCCGUUGUCGACGUCGAAUAUCCUUUCACCCGGUAACACCGAAGAAUCGUCGUCGAUUCGUACGGAUGAGCGUUGUUAUUUCGAGCAUCACAGGCCAUGUAAAUUAAUGCCUCAUGCGAUAAUAUCUUCGACGAGGACUAUCACGAAACCAGAGUGCCAACAAAGAUGUUCGACAACGAGAAACACAGCCGCAACGCCUUGCAUGUCUUUCAAUUAUAUAAUAAACGCCGACAACGCCGGAGAUAAUUGUUUGUUCAGCGAUAUAUCGAUGCAAGAUCUAAGACCAAAUCUGGACUAUGUUUACGACAAUGGCCAUCUGCUAUACUCGUGGAAAGAUUUUGAUCCGUAUUGCAGCGUACCGACGAAUCAUUUUCACGCGAUAAACGUUACACCGGCUGCGGCGUUCGAAAAACACGAUCGUCCAUAUUGGUUCACGACAUCGAAUCGAUCGAGGCCGCAGGUUCAUCCGUUCAACGCCGAUAUUCCAAUUGCCAUUCGCGACCCUACCACUCGAGCUGAAACUACCAAGUUUCAAUUCGAAUCUUAUCGACACAAUUUCGAUCACGACUCGAAUAAUAUCGAGAACGGAUCUCUAUACGGCUCUACCGGUUUCGAACGUGAUUUCACGUUUCAUCGCUCGAAAGAGCUUUCCACGUUUCAACGGUACACGGUAAAUGGUUAUCCUUGCAAAAACGCCACUGUUUGUCAACGAAACGAAAUUACUGGAUUUUGGUCUUGCGAAAUCGAACAAGGUGAACACGGUAGUUGGGAUUAUUGUUGCGAACCUGACCAUCGAUGUGGAUUUUCUCGAGGAUAUCAUUAUCCCUGGUAGAUACCGAUACUCUUCAUCUAUCAACUUAUACAGAUUGUCCUGUAAUUAGUCUCCGAGCCACGAACGAGUAACAGAAGUUGUUGCGGUUGGGCGCGUACUCUUUACCCGCUUCUAUUGGUGUUACGUGGGCAUGAACGAAGAUCAAUGGAGGCCUUGUAG